AGCUAGUUGGUGAGGUAAAAGCUUACCAAGGCUACGACGGAUAGCUGGUCUGAGAGGACGAUCAGCCACACUGGGACUGAGACACGGCCCAGACUCCUACGGGAGGCUGCAGCAGGGAAUAUUGUGCAAUGAACGAAAGUUUGACACAGCGACACCGCGUGUGGGAUGACGGAUCUAGGUUUGUAAACCACUUUCAGGAGGGAAGAAAAUGACGGUACCUCCACAAGAAGCCCCGGCCAACUACGUGCCAGCAGCCGCGGUAAUACGUAGGGGGCGAGCGUUGUCCGGAUUUAUUGGGCGUAAAGAGCUCGUAGGCGGUUCAACAAGUCGGUCGUGAAAGUUCAGGGCUCAACCCUGAAAUGUCGAUCGAUACUGUUGUGACUAGGAUACGGUAGAGGUGAGUGGAAUUCCGAGUGUAGCGGUGAAAUGCGUAGAUAUUCGGAGGAACACCAAUUGCGAAGGCAGCUCACUGGGCCGCUAUCGACGCUGAGGAGCGAAAGCUAGGGGAGCAAACAGGAUUAGAUACCCUGGUAGUCCUAGCUGUAAACGAUGGAUACUAGAUGUAGGAACUGGAUUGACGGUUUCUGUAUCGCAGCUAACGCGUUAA
rnacentral:rRNA from 1 species